UACAGAGGGUGCAAGCGUUGUUCGGAUUUAUUGGGCGUAAAGAGCGUGUAGGCGGUUCGGUAGGUCCGUUGUGAAAACUCGAGGCUCAACCUCGAGACGCCGAUGGAAACCCUCGAACUAGAGUCCGGAAGAGGAGAAUGGAAUUCCUGGUGUAGCGGUGAAAUGCGCAGAUAUCAGGAAGAACACCCGUGGCUAAGGCGGCUCUCUAGUACGGUACUGACGCUGAGACGCGAAAGCGUGGGGAGCGAACAGG
rnacentral:rRNA from 1 species